AGUGAUGACGUAAUUUCAGUGUAUAAAUAACCGAUCGAACGCUAGUGGCGUUCUUCUUGGAGACGGUGCCAUCUGGUAGAGACACUCCUCCACGACAUGAGGGCAAAGUGGAGAAAGAAGCGUAUGCGCAGGCUGAAGCGCAAGAGGCGAAAGAUGAGGCAGAGGUCUAAGUAGACUGCCCCCCCCCCCUACAACACCAUGGCUGUGACCCUUCUGGACACAACACGGGACCAAGGAUCUCAUGUUCAACGUCUGAUCCGAGCUGUGCCAUCCAUGCCAACGAGAGGCUGCGAAGAGACAGUGCUACUGUUGUCUUGGUCAAGAGACUCCACCACCUGCCUGGGAAAUUUGAUAUGGGGACUUUCUGGAUUCUCUACUCUUCUACCAAACCUACCCUACUCCAUUGCUUUUGUUUAUACUUUCCCAAUAAAGUUUUUGGUUUAAAGUUGUCUUUGUUGCUUCAAAAGGUUCCAGAAUGUAAUUCCUACCGUGCUGCAACCAUUUACCAUUAUUGCUAACAGUUCAGUUCUGGUGACUAGUCAUAUCAAACAAUCUUAUAGGUAACCCAUAUGUUGAUGUGCUUCCCUUAAACCGGUCUCGUCAAUAAACUAAGGUCAUCAGUAUGACUAUCUGUGGAAA